UACAGAGGUCUCAAGCGUUGUUCGGAAUCACUGGGCGUAAAGGGUGUGUAGGCUGCGUGUUAAGUCAGAUGUGAAAUCCCGGGGCUCAACCUCGGAACUGCAUCCGAUACUGGCAUGCUGGAGAAUUGGAGAGGAGUCUAGAAUUCACGGUGUAGCAGUGAAAUGGGUAGAUAUCGUGAGGAAUACCAAGUGCGAAGGCAGGACUCUGGACAUUUUCUGACGCUGAGACACGAAAGCUAGGGGAGCAAACAGG
rnacentral:rRNA from 1 species